GUCACGCAGGGAGAGGACAUGAUUCUUCCACGGCUAAGAGGCGGAGCCGGCGCUGGAUGGGCAGGACCAGAAGGAAAAUAUAAGGGACACCCUUCUGUGGGAAGCAACAGCCAACAUACUUACCUUCGUCUGGAAUAGAUUCCAAGGUGCACCUUCAUCCUCUGCGACCCCCUCAGUGGACCCUUGUGGAUUCCAGCACAUUGUGUCCACCCAGCUAAGGACGUCGUGGCACCAGGCCCCGAAUCUGAUUCCAGAAAUGGCCAAUGUGACUCUACAGAUGCCGCAGCAAUACGAUCUCGUCGGACCAGCCGUCAGUGACGUGGGGAGACAUGAAAAACCUGACCACCAAAGCGCAGGCAGUGCUGCAACAGCAACAAGUGAAGCAAACCCUCAAGAACUUAUCCGCUGCCAUUUUUGCGGUUUUAACUGCCAAUUCCUUAGCCAUCAUUUGUUUAUGUUUGAUUGUUAAUUGCUGCCCUCUAGCGACAGCACCUGUCAUCUCACCUAAACAUUCGCUUGAACAGAGAAUGAAGCAAAACCUAUGGGUGCAGCUAGCUAGCAUCACACAAAGUGAUGUCUUUUGCUUAUCUGAAUGUAUGAAAAAUUGCUUUCUACAUGAUUGGUCCCCGUUUGUACCCCGCCUGCAGUAAUUCAAAACUUCACUGGCUUGAGUAGAUUUUUAUUAAAUGAAAACUUUAAUUAUGAGACUACAUCUAGUUGGGGGUUGAUUGCCUAUGAUCCACCCCCUGACGCAAUUGCUUAACACACCCCGGUAGCAUGAGAAUAUAACACGUGCAAAAAUAGUUAAUUGUACAUCUUCAAGUAAAAAACCUCACUGUCUUCGUAUUAGUUCACCUGUUUUAAACUGUACAGCUUUUGAGGAGACUUCCUUUAAUUUUGCCCAUGUUUGGCUUCCACAAGGAUGGUUUUUUACAUGUGGUCAAGAAACUUUUCAUUAUAUUCCUGCUAAUAUUAGUGAAGCAUAGUGUUGCCUCAGCCGGUUAAUUCUUGUUUUGCUUUCCAAACAGCAAAUUCAUUCAAACCGUUCUCGACGUGGAAUCACGUUAGAUAGCACUUGUAGCUCUGAGACAGUUUUACUUAAUAAAGCAGAAUACGUAGCAUUGGCUAUAUCUAUAGCGGGUGUGCCAGCGCUUGCUACUUGUGUUCAUCUUAAUAUUAACGCUGUUGCUUGUAAUUUGGCAAAAACAAUUAAUGCUACUUCUUUAACUAUUUCAGUAAUUAAGCAUGAGUUACAAGCUUUGCAAAAGGUUAUUUUACAAAAUCACGCUGCUAUUGAUUAUUUGCUUCUGUGUCAGCAUUUGGGUUGUGAAAGUUUUGAAGGAAUGUGUUAUUUUAAUCUUUCAGAUGAAUCAUGAAUCAUCCAGCACCAGCUCAAUAUUUUACACAAUUUGAUCUCUGAUUUGAAAAUUGAUACUUUAGGAUCUUGGUGUGAAAGGUUUUGGGCUUGGUUGUCCACAGGCUUAAUCACAGCUUUUCAGGGAUUUCUGUUUAUCUUCACGCAACCCCCUUACUCUUAAUGCCAGCUCCAUUUGCCUGUACUGUAUCAUAAUAAUGUCUUUUUCAGCAUUUUCAACUUUUUGUUGCACCACCUCUUUUCGAUGUCAAAUUAAUAUUGGCUUCACUAAGAUCAUCUAGACUAUCUUCAAUUCCGGAAACAUGUUCUGUCAGUACAUUUACAAUUCCCAGCAUAUCAUCUCUGAUUUUAGAGACACGGGUAUCAAUUUUAUCAGACAACUCCCCUUUAAGUUCUUUUAUCUCCUCUUUAAUAUCUUUAAGUUUGUCUUCCACCUUAAUUGUCUGAGUGUUAAAAGCCUCAUUCAGUUCCUUCAGAAAAAAUUAUUUUUUUAGUAGAUCACCAGUAGGGGGCAUAGAGAGCGGAGGCUGCAACUUUGUGCCAGGUAUGGGCGAUGCGCCAGCACUUCUGGGGGCCGAGUGGGGCAUCUUCAAAUUAAGAUUUGGUUUUGAGGCCAUUCCAAGUUUUAUCUUCAAGCAAUUAAUAAAACUCUAUUGGCCAGCUAUACAGCUGUGGAACGAGGUAAUAAAUCACCCCUUUCCUUUGAGAUUUUGUAUACAGUUUUAAGAAGCAGCAAAUAGGAUAUAUAGCAACAGCAUUGUUAUUGGCAUAUUCUCCUUGUCAAUCUCUAAGAACAUCCCAGCCAGGGUAGAGUCUCACAUAUCUAGAUGGUUCCUGGUACUGUCUGGCGGUGCUAAUUAAGUGAACUCAUAAACAUCUGAGGUAAACAGUUACUGAGUCAUGGCAGUGUGUUGCACAUGGUCUCUUCGUAACCUUUCCUCUAUCUCUACA